AUUGAACGCUGGCGGCAUGCCUUACACAUGCAAGUCGAACGGUAACAGGUCUUCGGAUGCGGACGAGUGGCGAACGGGUGAGUAAUACAUCGGAACGUGCCUAGUAGUGGGGGAUAACUACUCGAAAGAGUGGCUAAUACCGCAUGAGAUCUACGGAUGAAAGCAGGGGAUCGCAAGACCUUGUGCUACUAGAGCGGCCGAUGGCAGAUUAGGUAGUUGGUGGGAUAAAAGCUUACCAAGCCGACGAUCUGUAGCUGGUCUGAGAGGACGAUCAGCCACACUGGGACUGAGGCACGGCCCAGACUCCUACGGGAGGCAGCAGUGGGGAAUUUUGGACAAUGGGCGCAAGCCUGAUCCAGCAAUGCCGCGUGCAGGAUGAAGGCCUUCGGGUUGUAAACUGCUUUUGUACGGAACGAAAAGCCCCGGGUUAAUACCCUGGGGUCAUGACGGUACCGUAAGAAUAAGCACCGGCUAACUACGUGCCAGCAGCCGCGGUAA
rnacentral:rRNA from 1 species